rnacentral:rRNA from 1 species
UCGAGAAUUUUUCUCAAUGGGCGAAAGCCUGAAGGAGCGACGCCGCGUGGGGGAUGAAGGGCUUCGGCCCGUAAACCCCUGUCAUUUGCGAACAAGUGUUACGGUUGAACAUUCCGUAAUUUGAUUGUAGCGAAAGAGGAAGGGACGGCUAACUCUGUGCCAGCAGCCGCGGUAAUACAGAGGUCCCGAGCGUUGUUCGGAUUCACUGGGCGUAAAGGGUGCGCAGGUGGGCUGGUAAGUUCGAUGUGAAAGCCCCGGGCUUAACCCGGGAAAGGCAUUGGAUACUACUGGUCUGGAGGAUCGGAGGGGGGACUGGAAUUCUUGGUGUAGCAGUGAAAUGCGUAGAUAUCAAGAGGAACACCAGUGGCGAAGGCGAGUCCCUGGACGAUACCUGACACUGAGGCACGAAAGCCAAGGGAGCAAACAG